GUCCACGCCGUAAACGAUGGAUACUAGCUGUUGGGAGCAAUCUCAGUGGCUAAGCGAAAGUGAUAAGUAUCCCACCUGGGGGAGUACGUUCGCAAGAAUGAAACUCAAAGGAAUUGACGGGGGCCCGCACAAGCGGUGGAGCAUGUGGUUUAAUUCGAUGAUACGCGAGGAACCUUACCAAGGCUUAAAUGUAGAUUGACAGGUUUUGGAAACAGACUUUUCUUCGGACAAUUUACAAGGUGCUGCAUGGUUGUCGU
rnacentral:rRNA from 1 species